AACAAACGCUGGCGGCGUGCCUAAUACAUGCAAGUCGAACGAGGUAGCAAUACCUAGUGGCGCACGGGUGAGUAACGCGUGGAUAAUCUGCCUGUGAGUGGGGGAUAACUAGUCGAAAGAUUAGCUAAUACCGCAUAAGGCCACAGGAACUGAGGUUCUAGGGGUUAAAGGUUUUUCGCUCAUAGAUGAGUCCGCGUGAGAUUAGCUAGUUGGUGAGGUAACGGCUCACCAAGGCGACGAUCUCUAACUGGUCUGAGAGGAUGAUCAGUCACACUGGAACUGAGACACGGUCCAGACUCCUACGGGAGGCAGCAGUAGGGAAUAUUGCACAAUGGAGGAAACUCUGAUGCAGCGACGCCGCGUGAGUGAUGAAGGCUUUCGGGUCGUAAAGCUCUGUCGCAGGGGAAUAACACAAUGAAUGUACCCUGUAAGAAAGGAUCGGCUAACUUCGUGCCAGCCGCCGCAGUAA
rnacentral:rRNA from 1 species